rnacentral:tRNA from 1 species
UGGGGUGUGGCUCAGUGGCUGAGUGCCUUCCUAGCAUGCAUGAGGCUCUGGGUUCCAUCCUCAGCCCCACAA